UGAUGUAAUUUUAUGCUUGUGUGAGCCUAUUAUAUUAUUGACCGGUAAAAAGCCUGGUUAACAUUAAGUAUGAUAAUCGAUUAAUCGUUCCAAGCUUUCCUCUAUUUUGGGAUGGAUGGAUGAUAAUAACAGAGCAGAGAUAAAAUUUUUUGACUAUUAGCUUUUGAGAGAUUAAAAGAUGAAUCAUAUGAGUGCAUGUAUGUUUGGGCUUUUGUUACGAUGUGCUUACGCUUUUUUUUUUUUAGAACUUGUAGAUGUUCAAGCUCUGUUUGAUUUGCACCGGAUCUCUGCAUUGUGUUUGUGCCGACCAUUCCAAACGGUUUCUUAAAAGGUUUUGAUUUGCGGCCUUUUGAGAACAUUAUACUGGUUUUGAUUUGCAAUCUGCUUGUACGAAUCACCAACUCCCAACAAACUCUUAUGAAUUAAAACCAGGUGCAUCUACUUCCUGCUCGAUUUCUUGAAUUAGUGGUCACUUAUGCAGAAUGUUACCAGGGCAUUUAUAUUUAUAUUAUAUUAAAAUAGCUCAUAUAUUUUUUGUUUAGUUGUGUCUUUGUUUUUAGCAUAGUGAGAUCUGUUGACGACCAACGAAAAUACAAAAUUCACAGGUGCCGCGAGCUUAUGGUUUAUUAUAAGAGAU
rnacentral:lncRNA from 1 species